rnacentral:misc_RNA from 1 species
CAAAAUAAAAAGACUUGGUUUGUUAAUAAAAGGGACUCUUUUUUUUCUUCAUUGAAAAUUUGUGAAAUUUAGCUUGCAAGGAAUGCUGAUAUUAUGUGCAUUUUCAUUUCUUUUGGAAAAUCAUUAUUCAUUUCAGUUGUUAGAUUAUUGAUUAAAAAAAACCAUGUACUUUUGUUUGGUCGAAAAGACAGUUAACUUUUGCAUUUGAUGCAGUUUUCCUUUAGAGUACAAGAACUGAUAAAUUUUGUGAAGGCAACAUUAAUUAAGUGACUUAGUGUGAGAAUGGCCAUGGGAAAGUUGGGCUUUAUUCCCAAAAUUAUUUUUGCUUUUUGGUAAUAUAUCUAUUUGGUUAGUGAUAUUACAUUAAUAUCCAUAGAUUGGGGGAACAGGUCUCUCAGAGUCAACAAAAACUUACUAAAGAGUUAAGAUGGAUUAUGAAUUAAGUGGGCCACCUUUCAUCCAUGUCUGUCUACUGUUUACAGGGAAAUAUUCGCCCCCGCUUUAUUUUCACUUCUUUUGCCCUCUUUGUCAGCGAGCGAAUUCUAAUGUCUCGCAUUAUCUCUCUUUAAACACAACUGUGUCUGGGCGAAUUCAAGACGGGGAGAAACCGUUUGGAAGUGUAGAGGGACGAAAAAUUACACUGGGCGAAAAUAACCCUGUAUACAUACAGUAUUAAUUACAUGUAUAAGGCAUAGGAGCUGCUUGUUUACAAUAUACAGGGUGCGUUUUGACUGUUGGUGUACAAUUUUCUGUACAAAAUGUGUCUGUGCUGAACUAGUCGUGUGUUUAUUUUGUGUUGUAUUUAUAUAUUGUAUAUAGAAUCGGAACAUGUACUGAUAAAUUAAUUGAUACACAGAAGUUUUAUUUUAUUUGUUCAUGAGUUUGAACACUUGUGGAUUGUUCAAGUGUAAAUGCACAAUUUGUAUUCAGCAAAUCUGAGGGAAAUUAAAACGAAAGGAAAAGAU